CUUUUAUUCAGUUUAGCUGCAGAUAAAGCCUGGCACGUCUAUGAGAGUGAGAUCACUUCUCUUUCAGUGUGAAAUGAAAACUUCAUCUCAUUUUCACAAAAUAAAAUGCUAUAGUAGCUAUUUAACUUUUACUCUCCAUCAGCGAAUAAUGAUUCUGAAAAAAAAUGUGCCAGAUGUCUGUUUGCUGCAUAUAUUUUGAAAGCACUGAAUCGCUAAAAAAAAAAAAAAAAAAAAAUUGUGAUUCAUUCGAUUCUUAGCGUUCUAUAUUGAUUACUCCGAGAUCAGCGACUCGUUCACGAUUCUAAAAUCAUGUUUCAAGAUCGAUGCAUAUGCAUCGUCAAGGGUUAGUAAUCGAUGCAUUUAGAAAACGAGUGAAUCGUAACACCCGAACAUAGACAGUAAAAGAAACAAAUCGUAUCUUCUAUGCUCCACAGAAAGUAAAACAGGUUUGACACAACAUGCAAUUUGCAAGGUAUUUGCAGCAGCAUGAGUGAUACAUUAUAUAAAUAAAGAGAAGAGAAAAGAAACAAUGUUAAUUCUUCCUUCUGUCUGAUUCUGGGCUGUGCUUGAUGAGUCCAUGUGACAUGAGUGAAAGCAAGGCUCAUCAUGUGGAGAUCAGGGAUGUAGGUGGACAGAUGCUCCCGAAGCUGGUGGAUUAUAUUUACACCUCUGAGAUCGAAGUGUCUGAGGAUAAUGUUCAGGUGUUGCUCCCAGCUGCCGGUCUGCUGCAGCUGAUGGAUGUUCGACAGGUUUGCUGUGACCUCCUGCAGGCGCAGCUUCAUCCGUGUCCACUGAAGAGAAGGUGACACUACCAAGUCUUUUGAUCUAGUUGCAUCUUUUCGAUUACGCUUCUCGGUUUCUCAUCACAUCACAAGCCUGUUUUCAGCUCAGCUUUGCGGGGUUUGUAGACUGCAGACAGUUGAUGGUUGGUUUUUACAUGUAGCCAUCUGUCUGUCAAACUGCAUUAGCUGCUGUCUGCUUGCUGUCUCCAGUCUGCGCUCACACACACACUUGAUGGCAGAUGUCAUCCGUCAGAUGCUUCGGUGUCAUCUGAGAAGUGACACACAGACAGUAGAGGAUAGUUGCCUGGUCUGCUGUGGAUGUGAGCUGCAUUCAUGCAAUAUAUAUAUAAUAGACUUUGUGUUUGAAGCCUUGAUUAAGCACGAUAAAGAGGCACGUCUGGAGCACGUCUAAGCUCAUGCAACAUGUUCGACUGCCCCUGCUAUCCAGAGAUAAGCUGGUUCAGGUAUGAUGGCGCACAAUUUCAAAGAGAGUUCUCUCCAUGUAAUGAUGCAUCCCAAAAUAGAUACAAAUGUGAUGAUUCAAGUUGGUUGAGAUGUUAAACUAAUCGUGAUACGCUUGGGUUUAUAUGAAUGCAUCUCUGACUGUUUUCAGAAAAGUUUAGGCUUGGUCCACACUAAUAUAUUUUGGGAUGAAAACGCAUCUUUGUCUCUCCAUUUUAGCGUUUCGUCCGCACUGAGACUGAGCUUUUUAAAAAUGCUAAUGAUGGCGAAUAAAUUUGAAAACAUUGUAGUGUGGACUGUGAAAACCUUUAAAAAUGAUAACGCAUAUUUAGACAUGGGACACAUUGUACCAAUAGAGGUCUAUGUUUAUACACCCUAACGCUACAGAUGUGUUACUUUGUAAACUCUUCAUAUCACAGUCCUGCACAGAAAAUGUACUCACGAUUGCUGUGGACGAGGAUUCGAUUAGAACUACAAACGUGCAUAAAAAGUGUUGAAAACUACAAACAUGGCGGAUAUGCGAGACUGAUGGACAGGUAGAGAAAGGGGUUUGAGAGAUAAAUAGUCAGUAUCUAUCCUGUUGGAAAAGUAUUUAUUUAUUGUUAUCCAUGUCAUAAUUCAUCUGCAGCACCACUGUGAACUUUAAUAAUGAUACGUUUGGUAUUUAACUCUUAAAUGCAUUAAACAAACAUAAAAAGAGAGUUCUCUGCAUGAUUGAGCCGAGACUGGCAACGUGUCUCUUCAUUUCCUUCAAAUACGGUAGGAAGUUAAAUGAAAUCGUUUUUGAAAAGACGAUUGAUGAUAUCGCAGUUUAAAUGGUGACAGGAUACACAUAACUAAGCAACAGAGCAUCCAUUAAAGACGCAGUUAUGUCCACAAGAUUGCCUACUCUUCUGCUACAGACUCAAAAGUUUGUUAAGGGCAUUGGGAUGCAGCAUUAGAUGCCAUUUUCAUUUCAUAAGUGCAGCACUGCUUUGUGGUAACCAUGUCAGGUUUGGAACGAGUAAUUAACAACAGGAUUUUUAUUUUUGGGUGAACUAUCUCUUUAAAGUGCAGAGGUUGCCUCUAGUUUUAAAUGGAAGGAGCACAGACAAAGUCUUAGUUUGUUUAUAUGAAGAGAUUCGUUUUUUUUUUGUAUUAUUGAUUGUGAAAUCAGUAUCACGUCGAGCUGAGGGAAUCGUUACAUCACUAGCAAUCUCUCUGUAUAUGUGUUUUUGUACAGAUUGUAGAGGAGCCCUUAAUAAAAACAACACUUGUAAGGACUUCUUCAUCGAGGCAAUGAAGCACCAGCUUCUAUCCACAGACUAGAGAUUCAGGAUCUGGUUUUAGUGCUAAACGCAAAGGUUAUGACUGACACAAGAGAGAUUUACUGCUGAAUGACAAAUCGCAGACUGAAUUUUGAUUCAUCGUGCAGCCCUAGUCUUACCCGCUUUCCGUUGGGG